GCGAUCAUACCAGCACUAAUGCACCGGAUUCCAUCAGAACUCCGAAGUUAAGCGUGCUUGGGCGAGAGUAGUACUAGGAUGGGUGACCCCCUGGGAAGUCCUCGUGUUGCACCCC
rnacentral:rRNA from 1 species